UACGUAGGGUGCGAGCGUUAAUCGGAAUUACUGGGCGUAAAAGGGCUCGUAGGCGGCCAACUAAGUCAGACGUGAAAUCCCUCGGCUUAACCGGGGAACUGCGUCCGAUACUGGAUGGCUUGGAUUUGGGAGAGGGAUGCGGAAUUCCAGGUGUAGCGGUGAAAUGCGCAGAUAUCAGGAGGAACACCGAUGGCGAAGGCAGCUCGCUGGGACGUGACUGACGCUGAGACGCGAAAAGCGUGGGGAGGCAAACAGG
rnacentral:rRNA from 1 species